GAGGAAGAUCUGUUUACAUCCCUCGGUCUUCAUUUCAAGACUUUGGAUAUGGCAACUGGUGAUUUGGGAGCACCUGCAUAUCACAAGUUUGAUAUAGAGGCAUGGAUGUCAGGUCACGGACGGUAUGGUGAGCGCGUUGAGCCUCCGAGAUGAGUAAUGGGCCAGCUAGAAAAGAAAAAACAAGAAAGAAGAAAGAAGAGAGAAAAUUGGAUUUAAGUUAAAAUUGUUCUGUAAUAUAUGUAUUUGAA